UACGUAGGGGGCUAGCGUUGUCCGGAUUUAUUGGGCGUAAAGAGCGUGUAGGCGGCCAUGUAGGUCCGGUGUGAAAACUCGAGGCUUAACCUCGAGAUGUCAUCGGAAACCAUUUGGCUAGAGUCCGGAAGAGGAGAGUGGAAUUCCUGGUGUAGCGGUGAAAUGCGCAGAUAUCAGGAAGAACACCAAUGGCGAAAGCAGCUCUCUGGGCCGGAACUGACGCUGAGGAGCGAAAGCGUGGGGAGCAAACAGG
rnacentral:rRNA from 1 species